CCUACGAGUGGCAGCAGUGAGGAAUAUUGGUCAAUGGGCGGAAGCCUGAACCAGCCAAGUAGCGUGCGGGAUGAAGGCCCUACGGGUCGUAAACCGCUUUUGCACGGGGAUAACACCCUCCACUUGUGGAGGUCUGCAGGUACCGUGCGAAUACGGGCAGGCUAAUUCCGUGCCAGCAGACGCGGUAAUACGGAAGGACCGAGCGUAAUCCGGAUUCAUUGGGCUUAAAGGGAGCGUAGGCGGGCGUUCAAGUUAGCUGUAAAAUCGCGCGGCUCAACCGCGCCCCGCAGUUGAAACUGGAAGACUUGAGUUCACAACAGGCAGGCGGAAUUCGUGGGGUAGCGGUGAAAUGCAUAGAUAUCACGAGGAACCCCGAUUGCGAAGGCAGCCUGCCGGGGUGCGACUGACGCUGAGGCUCGAAGGUGCGGGUAUCAAACAGGAUUAGAUACCCUAGUAGUC
rnacentral:rRNA from 1 species